AUGUAUCUUGAAUGAAAGACAGAAGUUUGUCAAGGACACAGGUAAGGGUCGGGUUUCCCAGGAAGGGACUCUAAGUUGGAGAUUAGUUUGUAAAUGUUUUUUAAGGCGUGUCUGUGGGAUCAACACCUGUGAAAAAGGGAGGAUGGAAGCAGAAUUGGGCACAGAGAGAAGUCAGGCUGCAAUGCAUUCCCACCCCUUGGGGUAAUCAGGAGCCAGAAUGCCCUUCAGAGUUGUCCCAAGUUGAGAAGCCCAGGAGUUUUUGGUUCCUUUGAGCUUGUAAACUUGCUGGAAUGAACUAAAUCACAAGUGACAGUUCAGGAGAGUAAGAUGCGACAUCAACAUCAGAUCUGAAAUGCCGAAGACAGGAGUGAAACAAGACAAAGGGCCUACGGAAUCUGCAAUGGACGCUUAAGAGCUAGAAGGCAUUUGGGACAAUAUAUCCUCUUCCCUCAUUUUUCAAAAGAGAAAAAACAAAACGGAGAAAUGUCGAAUGAAUUGCCAGAUGGCUCAGUCCGUUAGCGGUGGAGCUGAGAUACAAAUUUCUUGGCACCCAGUAUGGGGACCUUUCUCUAUUCCACCUCCAGAAGAGUAAUGGAGCAUCAGGACAUUGUUGGAAUUGGAAAUAUUUCAAGGCACAUCUGGGCAGGAAGUUAUCCGAAGUAUAUUAUAAUCAUAGCUUCUCAUUUUCAUUUUAUGACUCACCAAUGAAAUGCUGGGUUGUUUUAAAGCCAUAAUGGGAAGCUCCAUGAAGGUUUAUGUGAGGGUGGGAGAAAUCAGUCACCCGCAUCAAAGAGGCGAUGGGGAAGCCUGCUUCCAUCGCGGUCUUUGCAGACCACAUCCUCACAUCCUACGAAACUAGAAUCAAUUCUAUCAUCCUCUGUCACUUCACCCAGUUCAUUGCUUUUCACUCUUCACAGCUUGUUGUCAUUUGUUUAUUAGUGUUUUUCCUUAUUUAUUUCCUAUUUCCCUGCCCCCAGAUUAAGAAGUGCAAGAGGGUGGGAAACAUGUUUGUUUU
rnacentral:lncRNA from 1 species